UGGGGUGUAGCUCAGUGGUAGAGUGUUUGCCAGGCAUGAAUGAGGCUCUGGGUUCCAUCCCCAGCACCACAG
rnacentral:tRNA from 1 species